rnacentral:rRNA from 1 species
GGGGGGAAGCGUCAAACAUGGCAGUCCAUGAGGAAGUUUAGCUUGCAUAACACUGGCACUCAUGGCCGGACGGGUGACUAACGCGUAAAGAACUUGCCCUUUACACUGGGAUUACAGAGGGAAACUUCAUGAUAAUACUGGUAUAACUUAGUAUAUCGCAUGAUAUACAAAUGAAAGCUACGGCACUAAAGGAGAGCUUUGCGUCCUAUUAGCUAGUUGGUAAGGUAAGAGCUUACCAAGGCGAUGAUACGUAGCCGGCCUGAGAGGGUGGACGGCCACAAGGGGACUGAGAUAAGGCCCUUACUCCUACGGGAGGCAGCAGUGGGGAAUAUUGGACAAUGGAGGGAACUCUGAUCCAGCAAUUCUGUGUGUGUGAAGAAGGUUUUAGGACUGUAAAACACUUUUAGUAGGGAAGAAAAAAAUGACGGUACCUACAGAAGAAUCAACGGCUAAAUACGUGCCAGCAGCCGCGGUAAUACGUAUGUUGCGAGCGUUAUCCGGAAUUAUUGGGCUUAAAGGGCAUCUAGGCGGUAAGACAAGUUGAAGGUGAAAACCUGUGGCUCAACCAUAGGCUUGCCUACAAAACUGUUGAACUAGAGUACUGGAAAGGUGGGUGGAACUACACGAUUACAGGUGAAAUUCGUAGAUAUGUGUAGGAAUGCCGAUGAUGAAGAUAACUCACUGGACAGAAACUGACGCUGAAGUGCGAAAGCUAGGGGAGCAAACAUGAUUAGAUACCCUGGUACUCCUAGCUGUAAACGAUGAUCACUGGCUGUGGGGAUGCAAAGUCUCUGUGCCGAAGCAAACGCGAUAAGUGAUCCGCCUGGGGAGUACGUUCGCAAGAAUGAAACUCAAAGGAAAUGACUGGGGCCCCGCGCAAGUGCUGUACCAUGUGCUUUAAUUCAACGCACCUCUAGAAACCUUACCAUAUCUUGACAUCCUCCGGAAAAAUAUAAAAUUAUAAUUGUGCCUUCGGGAAUCGACAGACUGUGGUGCAUGGCUGUCGACAUCUCUUGCUUUCAAUUGAUAGGGUUAAUUCCGGCAACAAACGGGCCCCUAUCACUAAUUUCCU